UACGUAGGGUGCAAGCGUUGUCCGGAAUUACUGGGCGUAAAGAGUUCGUAGGCGGUUUGUCGCGUCGUUUGUGAAAACCAGCAGCUCAACUGCUGGCUUGCAGGCGAUACGGGCAGACUUGAGUACUGCAGGGGAGACUGGAAUUCCUGGUGUAGCGGUGAAAUGCGCAGAUAUCGGGAAGAACACCGGUGGCGAAGGCGGGUCUCUGGGCAGUAACUGACGCUGAGGAACGAAAGCGUGGGUAGCGAACAGG
rnacentral:rRNA from 1 species